AAAAUCCGUCGACUUUAUAAGUCGKGAGGGUUCAAGUCCCUCUAUCCCCAAA
rnacentral:tRNA from 1 species